ACCUCUCCAUCAUGCAUGACA
rnacentral:miRNA from 1 species